GAUGUAACCAUAUUAUUCGAUAGUUUCACUCACAUUUAACUAGUGUUUUGCCUAUUGUUUUAUGUAUAAAAUGCCUUGAUAUUCUUUGUUUUAUGUUUUGAAGGCACCUUUAGAUGAAAGAUGCAAAAAGGAGUAAAUUGGAGAUAAUUGGCAGAUUUGACCCUCAGUCGAUGUUUUGUGCAGAGCGUGAGCUCUAAAAGUCGAAACGAAGUGAUUCCAGUGGCAUUAGAAAUCUAACAUCCAUACCUUUCUGGAAAUAUAAGUCAAGAAAAAUAAAAAUACAAAGAGCAUGGAAAUCACAUCCUUCAAAGUCAAAACUCGCAUUCUGCCAGUGUUGACCUUUGUCCAUUGAAAAUUCAAUAUCUGGAGCUGUAGAUAUCCAAUUGAUGCAAACUCAAUUGUUUUGGAUUCCUGACUCAAAGUUGUAUAAACGCUCCAAAUUUCAGCCAAAAACGAUGUCAUAUGAGGGUGAUAUGAGUUUUCAAAGAUGACAGCUGAAUUCUGCCAGCAAACAGGUUUCGUGAAGAAACGAAUCCAAAUUACAUUCCGAAGCAUCAAAACCGACAUCCAAGUUUUAAUUUCAGCAAUUUAGCUCCUCAAGAACAUCAAUCCAGAAGGUCAAGGAAGGCAGCCACCAACCUCAAGCCACCAACCUCAAACCACCAACCAGCCACCAGCCGCCAGCCGCCAGCCGCCUUCACACUACCACCAUCUCUUGAUGUUCACACUUGAACUUUGAUUUUUCUUACUUGCAAUUUGUGUAUAAAUAGGCAGCUAAGUUCAUGAUAUUAAGAGAGCCAAGAGAGAGGGAGAGGGAGUGCAGUAGAAUCAAAGAAAGAAGGGUGGCAGCCAUAAGAGAAGAAACACAAACUCUCCCCUCUACAAAUCAGAAAUCAUGUAUUCUUUCAUCUUUAGGAGUAGUUUUUCAAUAGAUAUGCAAGGCUAAGCUCGUUUUCUUGGUUGUAAGGACGCAAACACCUUCAGAUUUCAAGAACUGUGAGAUUUAUUCUUCCAUUUAUUUUUGGUUUGUAUUAUGAAUGAGUAUGUUUGUUUUCCUAUGCAUAUUUCCUAUGAUUGUUUAUCUUAAUUGCUAAGAGCGGACUCUAAGUUAUUAUUGUGAACAAUCUAUUGCUAAGUUUGAUAUCAAAACCGGAG
rnacentral:lncRNA from 1 species